CCUACGGGAGGCAGCAGUGAGGAAUAUUGGUCAAUGGGCGGGAGCCUGAACCAGCCAAGUAGCGUGAGGGAAGAAGGUACAGUGUAUUGUAAACCUCUUUUGUCAGGGAAUAAAGGCGGGGACUAGUCCCCGGAUGAGGGUACCUGAAGAAAAAGCAUCGGCUAAUUCCGUGCCAACAGCCGCGGUAAUACGGAGGGUGCGAGCGUUAUCCGGAUUUAGUGGGUUUAAAGGGUGCGCAGGCGGCCUGUUAAGUCAGCGUUAAAAGCCCGGGGCUCAACCCCGGAGGGACGUGGAAACUGGCGGGCUUGAGUUGGAGAGAGGUACGCGGAAUGCGCGGUGUAGCGGUGAAAUGUUGAGAUAUCGCGCAGAACCCCGAUUGCGAAGGCAGCGUACCGGCUCCACACUGACGCUGAGGCACGAAAGCGUGGGUAUCGAACAGGAUUAGAUACCCCGGUAGUC
rnacentral:rRNA from 1 species